rnacentral:rRNA from 1 species
AAUGAACGUUGGCGGCGUGGAUUAGGCAUGCAAGUCGAGCGCGAACCGUAGCAAUACGGGGAGAGCGGCGAAAGGGAGAGUAAUACGUGGAUACCUGCCCUCGGGUUCGGGAUAGCUACGGGAAACUGUAGGUAAUACCGAAUAACAUCUUCGGAUCAAAGGUGUGAUUCCGCCCGGGGAGGGGUCCGCGUCCUAUUAGCUAGUUGGUGAGGUAACGGCCCACCAAGGCGAAGAUGGGUAUGGGGUGUGAGAGCAUGACCCCACUCACUGGGACUGAGGCACUGCCCAGACACCUACGGGUGGCUGCAGUCGAGAAUCUUGGGCAAUGGGGGAAACCCUGACCGGGCGACGCCGCGUGCGAGAUGAAGGCCUUCGGGUUGUAAAUCGCUGUCAGAGGGGAGGAAAUGCCGGGAAGUAAUUCAUAAUCAACUCGGUUUGACCUAGCCUCAGAGGAAGGACGGGCUAAGUUCGUGCCAGCCGCCGCAGUAA